AAUAGGAAAAUAUCACUAACGGAAUCAAUAUCUAUUUCCAUAUGACAUGGGCGCAAGAAUAGGGCCUAAAAGCUCGUGCAGGUGAUCGGACAAGGAAUAGUGGUUAAGAGGUGUUUCACUGUCCUCGUUUUUUGAAAACACUCCAUAGAAUGAUGAGCCCUGUGGUCUGCUGUUGUCCACGCCGGCUAGCUUAUGAAGCAACUGCCACAACUGUCAGUCGGGAGUCUUUAAACCACAUAUGUCAAAGUCAAGGCCCAGGGGCCAGAUCCGGCCCUCCAGGGGUCUUUCCACAGUGGCAAAGUGGGCCCGGUUUGCAGCCAUGUGUGACUGGGGCACUUAGUGGUCCACACUAAUGACCCUAAUUGGAGCUGCUGGAGCCUAUCCAUACUACCAUUUGGAGAAGAAGCUGAAACUGGGUGCAUUUUGAGAUUGUGCCGGGAUGUACAGUUGCCACCAGGCAUGAAACUGCUGUUUUUCUACACUAAGCCUUCGCAGGAGGGCAGGUGAAGUGAUGCAGGUGGCUCCUUUAUUGCCUAGAGAGCAGUUGGCCUCUCUUCAAAGAGGACGCCUGUAAAUGUCACACCACUUGUAGUCCACAGAACACUCAUAAACAAAAGACAUACAACUGCCAGACGCAGAAGUUUACAGAUGUGCCUCGAUUGUGUCGAAGAUUUAGAAGCUGCUAUCAGUUCUCUGAUCGUAUACAGGUCUGUGUACAUGAUUAAAAUAUUGUUUGGUGUAAUAAAACAAGCGGUCAGACUGGGCUGUGCUGCCUCA